rnacentral:rRNA from 1 species
UACGGAGGGUGCGAGCGUUGUCCGGAAUCACUGGGCGUAAAGGGCGCGUAGGCGGCCUGGUAAGUGAGGGGGUGAAAUAUGGCAGCUCAACUGUCAAGGUGCCAUUGAUACUGCGGAGCUUGAGUACAGAUGAGGUAGGCGGAAUUGACGGUGUAGCGGUGAAAUGCUUAGAUAUCGUCAAGAACACCUAUAGCGAAGGCAGCUUACUAGGCUGUAACUGACGCUGAGGCACGAAAGUGUGGGGAUCAAACAGG